UACGUAGGGUGCAAGCGUUGUCCGGAAUUAUUGGGCGUAAAGGGCUCGUAGGCGGUCCGUCACGUCGGGAGUGAAAUCCUGGGGCUUAACCCCAGAACUGCUUCCGAUACGGGCAGACUAGAGGUAGGUAGGGGAGAAUGGAAUUCCUGGUGUAGCGGUGAAAUGCGCAGAUAUCAGGAGGAACACCGGUGGCGAAGGCGGGUCUCUGGGCCGAUACUGACGCUGAGGAGCGAAAGCGUGGGGAGCGAACAGG
rnacentral:rRNA from 1 species